rnacentral:lncRNA from 1 species
UUUCUUCAGAUUAGCCGUUCUCCCUCUUCAGCAGCUGAAAGAAAAAAAUCCAUAGGAGAGAAAGGAGAUUAAAGAUAGAGGAAACAUCUUAUACAAACAAGUUAUUAGGGCUAAGUUAUUCAGCUGAAAAUAAAAAAUCCAGCAAAUGAGAGAUAGGGGAUUAAAGAGAGAGAAAACACAUUAUGCAAACAAAUUACUAGGGCUCAAGAGAGAUGGGUUAUUAGUGCUCAAGAAAGCGAAGACGAGCUUAGAGAAUGAGGACGCACUUAUUCAAACACAAAAAGUUUCAAAAUAUUUUUUUAAGCGGG